CUGUCUUGUUGCCGAUAGAGAGAGAGAGAGAGCGAGUAGUGGCUUCCUUUUUCUCGUUUUCUUCUUCCUGUGUGAGAGAGAGAGAGGCGACGCUGGCGAUUUCGGGAGGAGACGCGGCGGCGAUUCCGGGAGGAGACACGGCGGCGAUUCCGGGAGGAGACGCGACGGCUUCGCCGGUGAUCUCCUCCGCUCUUUCUCCGAUGGUGAAACAGAAGCGUGUAAAGUUGGAUAUUCUAGAAGAAAUUAUGUCUUCCCAAUCUGAUUCUGCCCUAAAUGACACUGAUUCUGGUUCCCAAUCUAAAGACAUUCCAGAUAAUAAUAGAAAUUUCGAUAAAGAUGCCAAAACUGAUUAUGUUUUCACUAGGUUCUCUGUGAACUGGAUUGCCAAUCAUGUCGAUGUCAAAACUUGUGAUAUCAUUGUCAAUGACAAAGUAAUUCCAAUGUCAAAAGAAUCAGUCAACAUUAUUCUUGGACUACCAGUUGGUGGAACAGAAAUUAGUUCUAAUUUUGAAGCUGGGAAGAAGAAGUUUCUUGAAGUUUUUGGUUUAACAACUAUGCCUCCUGUUAAGUUCUUUGGAGACAAGUUAAGUCAACAAGAAGAUAUGAUUGACGAUCAGAUUCUAUUCUGCUUCAUCAUUGUUUCUCUCAACUGCUUUCUUUGUCCCAACUCUUGCUCAGUACCAAGUAGAAAAUAUCUUAGUGUUUUUGAGGAUAUUGAGGCCAUUGAUAACUUUGAUUGGAGCAAGCUAAUAUUUGAUUGGUUGAUGGAUCAUCUGAAAAAACUAAACAGAUCUAAAAGCCUUGAUGGUUGCUUCUUUUGCCUUGCGAGUGUUGUGUUGAACUUUGGUUUAAGGAAGUUGCCAUGUGAUAUUCCACGGAUAAAUGUUUGGAAAGGAAAUAUGAUUAAAGAAUUUUCAAGUUUUGAUAAAAAAUCUAAAGGAAUAUAUGGCAGAAGACCAGUCUUAGAUUUUUCUGAUACUUGUUACAAAAAGAUUGGUUCAAAUUGUUCAAAAGUUGAAGAGAAGAAGAGUCAUUCAUCUUUUAAAGAAAUGCUUGAAUCAUCAGUUGGCUCUAUGUUAUCUUCUGAGAUAAAAGAGAACAUAUGCAAUUUGCUUAUACAACAUUUUUUCGAUGUGCUGGACAUAUGUAAUGAAGAGGACAUAUGUAAUGAAGAGGACAUGGUUGACGAUAGGCCAAAAAAGUUUGUUAUCGAUGUGCUGGUUUUGUUAGCAAAUGAAAGUACCAAAGUUUCAACUGACAAUGAUAACAGUACAUCAGCUGUCAAUGAUAAAUUAGGCAAUGGUGACCAAUCUACACAGCUAGAUAAAUGUGAUCAUAAUCAAUGUAACUUAGCUGAAGAACAGGGUAACAGUGUUGCUGUUUCAGUGAAGGAAAAUUUGGACAGAAAUCUUGAAAACAACAGUGAUCACCACCACAUAAAACCAAUUUUAUCUCAUGAUGAUAUGCCAAAAUUUCAAAUCUGGGAUUCUGAAGAUGAUGUUGAUGCUUUGGAUAAUGAAGAAUUCACACCUAUUUGUUAUGUCAAAAAGUCUUCAAUUGUUCCUAAUUCCUUCUCUCCAAAUUCUAAUGAAGUUGUUGUCAAACAGAAGGAUUCUCCAGAUUGUGUCAUUCUUGGAGAAAGGAAGUUUUCUGAUAAAAUUUCAAAUUUGACAAACCAAACAAACUUUAUGUAUAACAACCUCAACAAAUUCCACAAUCAAGAUCAGAAAGUUGCUGUUGAUAUUGACCAUGUCCAUUGCAAGUUUACAACUUUUGGAGGAUCUUUUAAACAUGGAGCAGAAUUAUCAAAUUUUGUACUUUCUGUAUUCUGUCGGUACUUGUUCAAACAAUCUCAUCCCUCAAAAUCCAAAAGGCACUACUUCUUCUCUUCUAUUGGGGAUGAACUUCUGAAACAUCAUUCAACAACAGACUUUAAAAAUAUGAAAAAGUGCUUUGAUGGAGCAGGAUAUGCUAGGCCAGUACAUACUUGUGACAUGCUCUUCUUUCCUAUCUUACAUCAGAAGCAUUGGUUCCUCUUCAUAGCUGAUUUGAAAGACAAGAACUUUGUUUUCAUUGAUUCAUUAUUUGAUGAAGAUCAUGAAUACCAAGAGAAUGCAAGCUCUAGAUUGAUAGCAAACUUUAGAACAGUUUGGAAUAAAUUUGUUCCAAAUCACCCAAUCAAUUUUCAACAGUUCAAAACCAUUUACCCACCUCGUCCCAAGCAGACAAACCGUGUUAACUGUGGUAUUUUCAUGCUGAAAUGCAUGGAACUGUGGGCUCCAAGAAUUCUCCUUCCAAACAUGUUCUCACAAAAGGACAUUCCCAACAUAAGAAUCCAAUAUGUCAAUCAACUAUUCUUUCAUCCAAACAAUUCAGUCCUGAAUACACCAACCAAUACUUUGGUAACUGAAUAUUCUGAGGUACAAAACAUGAUUAUUUUUAGUUUGCAAAUUUAUUAUUUGUGCUAUUGUAAGGUUUUUAAAAUAUUUGAGUACCUUUUUUUGUAG
rnacentral:lncRNA from 1 species